UUUGUUAAUGUACUGCCCUUCAAGAUAGACGGUACGGAUAUUCGGUGUGACGCCUUCGUUGGAGGAUAUAAGGGUAAUUGUGUGAAGGGUGCACGUGUGAGUGUGGUGUGAGAAGCGGGGGAUUGCUCCCCACUUCUAUAAUUUCCCCAGGAGAAUCAUUUCUCCCAUUUCCUCCCUUUCUCACUCUCUCGGCAGUCUCUCUCUCCUCUUCUCCUCCGAAAACUCUCUCCUCGAUUUCAUCUACUUAGAACGUGAUUCCGAACAAAGUUCAAGAAUUAAAAUUGUUAUACGGCGCAUGGGCUUUCCGAAUAUCCAAGAAAAAUCAUGAUCGGACCACGUGGGAGCUUGGUUGACUUGGUCAAAGGUUCGGGUUUUGCUCAAAAUCCAUGAGGUACAACACAGGGGUAGUGAUAUGAAGUGCAUGGAGUGCAUCUUUGCAUUAAAAGGGGUUUUCUGGCGCUACCUAUAUAUUUGUAAAUCAAAUUGUAUUGUAAUGUACUGGGAUGUCUUAAUUUGAAACAUUAUAUUUGUGGACAAAACUGAGGAUUUGGGA